UGGGGAAUAUUGCGCAAUGGGGGAAACCCUGACGCAGCGACGCCGCGUGAAGGAAGAAGGUUUUCGGAUUGUAAACUUCUAUCAGCAGGGAAGAUGAUGACAGUACCUGACUAAGAAGCCCCGGCUAACUACGUGCCAGCAGCCGCGGUAAUACGUAGGGGGCAAGCGUUAUCCGGAUUUACUGGGUGUAAAGGGUGCGUAGGUGGCUAGAUAAGUCAGAUGUGAAAGCCCGGGGCUCAACUCCGGGACUGCAUUUGAAACUGUAGAGCUAGAGUGCAGGAGAGGUAAGUGGAAUUCCUAGUGUAGCGGUGAAAUGCGUAGAUAUUAGGAGGAACACCAGUGGCGAAGGCGGCUUACUGGACUGUAACUGACACUGAGGCACGAAAGCGUGGGGAGCAAACAGG
rnacentral:rRNA from 2 species